UAACACCAAAGGAAACUGCUUGCAAAAAGGCAAACUGAGAGGUAAGCUCAUUUUGAUAGGAGAGGAGAAGGGCCAUUCUUAGAAUUCUGAAUCCACCAAGUGUGUGCAAGGCUUGUCCCAGGAGGCCCUGAGGGCUGGUAACAUGUACAAAAGAACACUGUCUUCUCAGAGUCUGCUUGUAAUCUUGCCUAGGCUCACGUGUCACUUUAAAGGGUUAACAGGAAACUAGAUAUCAUCUUGUCAGCCUUCCUGAUCUCUUCCAGCUGGAAGUAAUCCUGCUGGGCUGUGAACCCCCAGCCCUCCAUCUGUCCUUUUCUUGCAGCACCUUCUCAUUGCACAGCCUGGAUGUUAAUGCACAUGGCUUAUCUCCUCCCUAGAAGGUAAGCCCCUUGGAAGCAGGACCCAGGGCUUUGUUCUGGAUGAUAAAUCUGCAGAGUCCAGCCCACACAUCGACUGUCACAUUUCUACACGUAAUAGUAGGAAUUCAUUCAAUGCUGGCUGAGUAGAUGGGUGGAUGCAUAGACCAAUAGAGGGAGAGAUGUACCAUCAGUCUUGUUCAGUCCUGAAUCCUGAGGCCUCACAAACAGCCUUGGCAGGUGACAGACAAUCAACUCACAUCCGCUCAUGGAACGGACAGAAAGAUGCCCAGUCAGUCUUGUUCUCACUGAUUCUCUAGGGCCCAGGACAGGGCCUGCCACUUAGCAGACACUUAAGAAAUAGAUACUGACUGGCUUAUUGUGUUUCCGAACUGCCAGAAACCAACUCGCAUAGAAAGAAAUGAUCACAAGGUGGUUUUACUUAAGGCAUUUUUCUCCAAAAGAGAAUGACCCUAGGAUCAGUAUGCGUCACUGGCUUUUACCUGAGCUUCUAGUCUGUGGUCUAGAGUGGGGGUUGAGAGCCCACAGGCCAAGUCCAGUCCACUGCCACCUGCCUUUGUAAAUAAGGAUUUAUUGGAACACAGUCAUGCCUAUGUAUUUGCAUACUGUCUACAACUGUUUUCAUACAAUGAGAGUUGUGAAUGGAGACCGCAUGCCCUGCAAGGCAGAAAAUGUUUACUCUCUUGCUCCUAUAGAAAAAGUUUGCCCACCUCUGUUAUAGAAAGCUGGUAUCACAACCCAGACAGCUGUCCUUUCAUGAGCUGCUGUUUGCCCCAGUCUCAUCAUGAGUGGCCAGUAUUUUCGAGCCUUUACUGUGAAAGGAAGGGCCCUAGUGUGUCGCUUUCUUGGGAGCAGUGGUGGUUUCCACGUGCUGCUCCCCUUUUUCUUCCCAUGGGCAUCUCAGUUCUCCUCACCUCAGUCAGGUGUUCAUCUCUGAAAACCAUCAUGUCUUUCCUAUGUAGAUUUUCCCAGGAGGAAAAAGAAAAAAAGAACUUUAGCCCAAACUAAGUAUAAUUUGCAGAGAAUCCAGAGAAAGGGCAUAUGAGGUUAUGAAAUGUGACUUGGAAUAAAACUGGCCUCUUACGUAACAUAGACGGAGAAGACAUGGUCCCUGAAUUUAAGGUCAUAGUUUCUGAGGAACCAGGCAUGACAACCACAACUGUCAUGCAGGCCAGAUCGACAGCGCAGCUUCUGGAGCUUAGGAUUCAGGACCCCUCGCACGUGUGGACCCCUUCCGGGGCACCUACUAACAGGUUCACAUGACCCAUAUGUUCUUGUAAAACUUGCAAGAGGAAGAUAUCUUAAGCCAAGUAAGUUGUGUCCCAUUUCUGUUCUUUUCUCCUUAAAGAGGAGCCUCUAAAAUUGCAUAAAGCUUCAUGUCCCAUAUCUCCUGGAUCUUCCCCCAAUUCUAUCACAAUGGGACAUUGCUCUAAGGGGGUAUACCCAAAGUCUGAGACAAAAAGCCCCCAAGGGUAACUGGAGGAAUUUGAGAAAGGUGACAUGUGGCCUAAGGUUGAGCAGGAUUUCUCGAGGCAAAGAGUGACACUGAUGGAGGAAAGGAGUGAGGCAGGGAUGGAGCUUUCUUUGCUCCAGGCAGGAGGAACAGCAUUUGGGGUGAGAGUGCCUGACAUGUUUGGGGGCAGAAAGGUUCAGGACAUGGUAUGGGAAUGGCGAAAGAAAAAAUGCUUCAAGGUAAGAUCGAUGGAAAGGUAAGUUUAAAUUUUUUUUUUUUUUAGCAGAAAAUGAAAAUGGGGAAGAAGUAGUGUCUACAUCAGGGGUCUGUAUUUUCUUUUCUGGUGAUAGGGAGCUGCUGAAGAAUACUGAGUGGGGGGUGGCAUGAUUGCACCUUAUCCUUAGAAAGAUCCUUUCAGCAAUCCUGGGAAAUCCCCAGUGACCUUGGCAACAGAAGACCCACUUAGAAGAAAGAUGACAUAUUGCUGCCUUCACGACUACAGCAGGUGGAAGGGCCAGGCAGCGGGACUCCCAGAUCUUCUCUAAGUUUUCAGCUCAGCUACCUGGGCACAAGAGGGGAAGAAAAGACAGAUGCCUCUUCCCUUUGCUUUCCUUCCUCUGACCUCAUCAUUGGCAGUUCUUUCCAGGAAAGCUUUCCAAUGCUGUAGCUUCUCUCAAAUUAUGAAGCCAGCUUUCCUGGGGCUCCCCUGCAGUUUAGCCACAAGGAAUGAAGAGCCUCACAACCAAGAGCACUGCCACAGCAUCACCCUGUGGCCAGAAGGGUGGGUGGGGCCCGUGAAGAAGCCAGACAGCCACGGCAAUGCAGAUACAAUGUGUACUCAAAAACCUCAAAGAGAAAAAGGCUUUUUAAGUCAUAUUUUUGAGCCUAGAGAAGUUCAGGAUGUGAUUCUUCCAUUAACACGAGUCCUUGUUUCCAGUUCUGUCCCCUCAAAAUCAUCGGGAAAGGUCACUUUGUCCUUGUCCCUCUCCCCACUGGCCCUUCAGAGCACCUGCUCCACAACUCCCUAUAAUGGUCCCACAUCUCUGCCCUCACUAGCCCAGCUUCGUAAAACUUCGAUGAGAAUAUUACAUAAAACAGCUUACCUUUCAUCUCAUCCUCCGGGUCCCUAUCACCUCUCUGACCUGGCCGAUUCUCCUCCUUCAGGAAUACAUUUCAUCCUGCUCCUUUACCUGGCUCAGGUGUGGCUCUUUCAGGAAAGCUUGGACUCUGGUGGCCUCCUCCGUGUUCCCAUCAAUGCCCCACUCAGUCCUCUUCGCUGAGGUCUCUUUGCUUCCGCUGCCUCUAGUUUCUGGGAAGGGCCUGUCUUCUUCCAAGGCCAUUUCCCCUGCCUAGAACACCUGCCCUCCUGACUUUGCUUCCCUAGCCACUCUUACCCCUUAAGCCUCAUCUGCAAUAUCAUGACCUCAGAAAAGCCCUUCUUGAACCUCCAACCUAUACUGUAAACCCCCAACUUAUGUCCCAUGUCCCCAGUCUAUGUUCCUUAUAGUCCUUUUCCAAGGCACUUAUCUCAGUGCAAUUUAGGGAUGCAAUUCAGUCUGAGCAUUAACGUCUUCUUAUCCGUCAGGCUAAUGGUUUUAAAAGAGCAAGAAAGACAUCUGUCCUGUUGACCACGGUAUCUGACUAAAGUGGUCACGCUAGGAAAUCAAUAUCUGUCAAUGAGCAGAGUUGACUUCAUUCUUUAACUUAUAAUAAUCACGUUGGGGGUGGAUCCGUUUUCUGAGACAGAAACCAACUCUUCACCAGUUCGCAGCACAGAAGAUGGACGUGUGUAUUAAUUAGGCUUUCCUCUGGGAAUAGGACGUUAUCCUACUCAAGACAAAAGAGCAGCACCAAAGAAGAGGGAGUUUAUCUGGGUGAAAGUUAAAGCAUCGGUUUGUUUAAUCAAGAGAAAGUCAUUUGUCCCCACUUCUUCCCCAAACAACAAAAAGGAACCCAGGGUAUUUAUUGUGACCCAGCUUAGAGCCCAAAUCCCAGCCCUGGAACCGUGCCAUUCCCUAAUAGACAAAAUUAGGUUAAAAGAGCAGGGGUGGUCACAUGGUUUCAGAUAACGGUCCUAUAUCUAGGAGUUUUGUUCCAAAUAUAAUCAGAUUCCAAAGACCUAUGAGAGUUUAUUUAUUUAUGAAAAUGAGGACCCAGCGUCUUCUGAAGCCAGUGUGUUAGCGCAGUGGCCCGUGUGCAGAGCAGUGUUACUCUGAAAAAAUAACAACGAGGCUUCUUUGACCCGGGAAAGUCACAGCCUGAGAGGCUUAUUUUUGAAGCAGCAUUUAUUUUCUGCUGCUUUAAAACAUGCUCCCCUCAGGAAUAACCUUCUGGCUGCCCCAGAAAUGCUGAUCCGCUGAUUGUGUGAUGUCGGCCCUCCUGUGCACCAAUAGGGAGCUCAGCCCCCACAGCAGGGGGGCAGCCAGCCCCCCCUUCUCAUUCCCCAUCUCGUUCUUUUCUGAGAAAUGAAAAUUCUUCCUGAGAAGAGAGGAAUGAAAGAGAUAUAGAACACGCGCUGGAGUCGACAGGUCUAUUUCCAAAAUGAGCAGGGAGGAAAUCUAGCAAAAACAUUUACACUUUUUUAAAUAAAUUUUUUUUCCCAGCCCCCACUUCAAGCCCCUUCCUGCUCAAGUUCAUGUUUGCUGAGGCCUCUUUUAGUCAGCCCUACUUCCUGGGCUGCUUUCAGAAAUAGAGAGAGGGGAGCUUAACAAAUGCUUCCGUGUUUGCUUUUGAAUGAAGCAAGGACAGAUGACGUGCCGUGAAGAAUGACAGUUACACCGCAAAAUAUCAGCCCCGAACAUGAAAUCCUUCCUUAAUGAAGUUAUUAGCUCAUUGAUAAUUAAGGAUCUUCUUCCAUGUCAUCGGGAUUGGGAACCAUAAUGAAGUGCUUUGGAUAUACAAGGUUGUGUGGGAUGCUCCUGUUGUGUGAUUUGAUGAAUCUCGGAAUUCAAGUAUUUGUGUAGCACUGGGUCUAGAGAGAGGCUGACAUUCAGUGAAGUACCAGGUUCAAAUAAUUAGAAGACUUUAAUUCAGGUCAGUGCUUUUCAAACUUUAGUGUGUAUACUAAAAUACCUGGGGAUUUUGUGAAAAUGCACAUACUACUUCACUAGCCAUGGGGCAGGAGGUGCUGCGAUGCUGCAUUGUUAAUAAGCUCCCUGGUGAUGUCAAUGAGCUCAGCCAGUGGACCACACUGGAAUCGAACGUACUCCCAGGUGAGGGGGAAGAUGCUGCUGGCCCACGAAUCACACUUGGGAGUAACAGGUCCUUGGGCUAUAUCUGCAUGAUUCUGAAAUGACCUGAAAAAUUUCACUCCACAGCCUUAAACAAGGGAUUAAAAACAAUUCUUUGUGGGCUAAAAAAAUAAGAUUCUGAGCAUCAAACAUGGUCUCUAAUCCCAUCUCUAUUCCUUCCUAACCAUGUUACCUCAAAAUUCUUCAUCUUAGUGUUCCGAUCUAUAAAGUGGAAUAAUAACCUUUAUCUCAAUUAGGAAGACUCACGGGGCACGAGAAUUCAAUAGGCGAUGUUGGCACUGCGAUAGCAUGCGGGUAGUGCUUAACACGGGCUAACUCGCCUUCUACUGACACAGCAGCUCCGGAAGUCAAGACGUCUCAGGAAUUGUAGGUUUCUUUUCCUCUUCACACAGAGGAAGAAGUUAAGCUGUAUGGGAAAUACAGUACCUUUCACUUCCUUUCUUCAGGGGCAUGAAACCCCCAGGUGUGUCUGGGUACAGAAUCAGUGGGAAGAAAAGAGUAAAAGCGAGAAGCUCUCGGAGGGCGCUGACUCACUCUCCUCAGGGAAAAGCAGUCGACCUGUGAAGCUUUGCAGGGAAGAUGCUAAGGCCAGUUUGGGGGAAACGUGAAGUGAAAAAGACAAGAGAAAGACACAGGAACUUCCCCUACUAUUUACCACCUUACAAUGCAAGCCUUCUCUCUUCAUUCUCUGCUUUCAGUACUGAGCUCCGAGUCCUGCUAGACUAAUAUUUAGACACAUUUUGCUUUGAUAAUUAGGAUGAAGGGAAUAGGACAACUUCAUAUUUGGGGCUCCUGGAAGAUCAGAUGUGAAUACAGAUAUUAGAUCUGGAUCCGUGUGUACCGUGGGUCCCAUGGAGCAACCUCCAUAGUCAUUUCUCAGGCUCCUAAAUCAGGAGCUUCAAAGGUAACUCCUGGGGUGAUUUUUAGUGACUUUCCAUCAGUGUGGGUGUAAUUGGCAUUGUCAGUUUUCCACUGGCUUCUUUGUAUAGUCUUCUGGUUUCCAGGUAUCCACUGGACUUGAGCUGACCCUAGACUGAUCUCAUGGCAUCUUUGGGGGACCUGAAUCAACAGCUUCCAGCUCAGAACAGUGAUUCCACCUCUCUUGGAACAGUCAUAUCUGCUGAGAAGUUUAAGGAAGGAACCUUGAGAAAGCAUCAGAGGUGGCUUUGGAGGUGGAAUCUGAAGAAACUAGAGGAGAGAAGAAAGGAAGAAUGGAUUACAAAAGAUGAGCAAGAUGCCUGGAAUUUCACACGUACAUCAUCUCUUUGGGUCACAGAGAAAGCCAUGCUUGAUUAACACUGAGGAUUCGCGUGUGACCUAUGGCUGGUGUCCAAUGACUUCUCCCAUUUUCAGAACACUUCUGUAAUGUUUCCGUCAGUGGUGAAUAUAUGACAUCCAAGGAAAGGUGAGGCCCUGACACUAAGAGGAAUACAAUGACCAGUCCAAGAGGACAACCCAGAACUGGACUUCUGGGGCCUGACUGAACUGGAUUGAGGUAUCGGACACGCUUUUACAGAGGCUAUUUAGGAGGUAGAUUUUAUGAGCCUCAUUUUGCCAAUGAUAACACUAGGGCACAGAGAGGUUCAGCAACCCGCCCAAGGCCACACAGCCAGGAAGGAGCAGGAUCUGACCCCAGGCUGCCUGACUCCGGAGCCCAUGCUUGCAAACAUUCGUAAUCCCUGCUGAAUGAUUUCAGCUCUCCUGCUGUCUUCCCCCACCUCACUGUCUCGCGAUGGACGUUCACAUUUCCCGGCUGGCCCAGAAGCUGCGAUAGGGUGUUAUGAGCUGUUAGCUUAAGAGGGGUGAAGCCCUGUGAAAAGAAAACACACUUGCUCCCCUUCCUCAGCUGCGCUGGUCUUUCCUCCAGCUGAUCUUUCUCCUGUUAUAUAAAUGGAAUGUUAUACAAAUGUUUCCACCAUGAGUUUCCUUUCAAAAGAUGAAUAAAAGAAUGAGGCGUUUUGUUUUCCUUUGUUCCCUGGUAGCACCUAUGUUAAGAAUUUGUGCUUAAAACAUGACUCACUAAUUCUUGGAGCAAAGCACAAGGAAGUGAAGGGAUCUGAUGUUUCUCUGAGAUGUAGGCUUGAGCUUGUGUGGGAAAGAAGCAACUGGAACGGCUUAGGCACAGUUUCAUUCAAGAAUACAAUGCUCCUGCUCUUACCUCUUCCCCAACAGCUCCUAACAUGACUGUUGUGUUCACGUAGCCCCGUUCGCUUUCUUGUAUCAUUGUCAAAUAUUUCAGGCAAGUGAUAUCUAGUUCCCUUGCGUGUGGGCGUGUGCCGAACUGUUUGAGUUUAUAAUUAUUAACUGAAUCAUUGGUUUGUUGUUUGAUAGGCAGUUUGGUUUGGGAACAGUUAUUUACAGAACAAAAGCAGGAGGGAGGUGGUUUAAAUAUGGUGCAUGGUAAAUAAGCUUGAGAAGUACCUAAUUUUUGUGGACUUAAGUAUAAUAAGCUUUCAACUAAGCCUGAAGCAUUUUAAUUCCCUGAGCCUAUGCAUGCUAUGGGCAGGCUUUAUCCCGUUGGAGGAGUGAGAUCUGAAUCUUAGCACACAGAAAGACAUUCUCAGAACCUGCUUUCUAGAAAGUGAGCCAUGUGGGCCACUUCCACUUCCUCACCCCCUCCAGCCCCAGUCAUUUGAUUGCCUGGAAUGUUGGUUUUAUAAUUCGCUGGCUCCAGGGAGCUGCCUGAAUGUCCGUGAGUCAGCUUGCUGGCUACUGGGGGAGCCAAAGCAGGCUGCCUGGGUGCACAGAAUGUUUUCUUUGGAAGGAACCCUCUUCCUUGAAUUCCUUUUCUUUGCAGGAGACAAUGAGGAGUGGGAAGUCACUUUGGGUGUGACUGUUUAUCUCUCUUCUUUCCUAUUCAUUGCUCAAUACCUUCAAAAACAUCGGUCCUCGGGCAAAGACGCAUUUGGGGAAUCAGCUAGAAGGACAUCCCAGAGGCCAUCCUUUCUGUUCCUUGACAAAAUCUCUCCCAAUAGCCUCUGCUUCUCUAUCCAUAGAUCCCCAAGUGUGUCAGGGAACAUCUACUGUUUCCUCCCGACAAUUGUGGCACAGACUGAAAAUCAGGGUUGUCAUCAAGUUUUCCCUUGUUAUCAAAAUUAUAUCACUCUUAGAUACUUUAGCAUCCCUCCCGCUGAACCAGGCUCAACAGUCACCUGGAUUAUCAUGAUUGCUGUGCUGCUACAACCACCAUUACGGAACCCUCCCACCUCCACCAUCACUGGCACUACCCCUGGCAUCACCACAACUAUCCACACCAUCAGGACCAUCACCCUCCAGAACUCAACCACCAAAAACUACCAUUCUAGCUGCACCAGUGCCACAUUCACCAUGACCACGAAUAAUGGUGCCAUCACCACUACCUUCAUUUAAUUCAGUAGUUAUUUACUGAGCAGUUAUACACUGAUGGUAGCCUGACACUCUAGUAGGCCCCAGAGAUAUUAAAAAUAAUAUGCCAUGAUUCCUGCCCUGGAGGACAACGGUCUGUUAGCGGAACUUAGAGAAUUGUACGAAUGGCAGUUAUGCAAACUACAAGGAAAUAUAUGCUGUAGGAGAGAUAUAAAUAAGAUGCUGGGUUUAGUUCAAAAGUUUAGUAAUUCAGGAGGAUCAGCUUAAAUGUCACAUUUUCUGGUAAGCUGGAAGCUGGGGAUGGUUUCAGCUCCAAGUAACGUUAAGAGUCAAGCUAGAAUAAUGAAGACAUAAUUAUUGCACGUGGCAAGAUGUCUAAUGCUGGCUCAGUGGCUCAAGAAUAGCAGGGCUUUAGGCCACCACUGAUGUAAUUCUCCUUCCUUUUCAUUCAUGGCUACAACACAAUGAUCUCCUAUGGCCAAUUGAGGUCAAAGUCAGCUAACAGGGGCGGCAGAGUGGAGUGAGACGUCCCUUGUUGAGCCUAU